rnacentral:rRNA from 1 species
CCUACGGGGUGCAGCAGUGAGGAAUAUUGGUCAAUGGUCGGGAGACUGAACCAGCCAAGCCGCGUGAGGGAGGAAGGUACAGAGUAUCGUAAACCUCUUUUGUCAGGGAACAAAGACUGGGACGCGUCCCCGGAUGAGUGUACCUGAAGAAAAAGCAUCGGCUAACUCCGUGCCAGCAGCCGCGGUAAUACGGAGGAUGCGAGCGUUAUCCGGAUUUAUUGGGGUUAAAGGGUGCGCAGGGGGGCUGUUAAGUCAGCGGUCAAAGGCUGGGGCUCAACCCCGGCCCCGCCGUUGAGACUGGCAGUCUCGAGUUGGAGAGAAGUAUGCGGAAUGCGCGGUGUAGCGGUGAAAUGCAUAGAUAUCGCGCAGAACUCCGAUUGCGAAGGCAGCAUGCCGGCUCCACACUGACGCUGAGGCACGAAAGCGUGGGUAUCGAACAGGAUUAGAUACCCCAGUAGUC